rnacentral:rRNA from 1 species
AAGCUCGUAGUUGAAUUUCGGGAUCAAUGGGUCGGUCAUGCCCUCGGUAUGUACUGGCCUCAUUGGUUCUCACCUUCUAAGGAACCUUAAUGUCAUUAAUUUGAUGUUUUGGGGAAUUAGGACUGUUACCUUGAAAAAAUUAGAGUGUUUAAAGCAGGCUAACGCUUGAAUACAUUAGCAUGGAAUAAUGAAAUAGGACAUCGCAUUCUAUUUUGUUGGUUUCUAGGAUCGAUGUAAUGAUUAAUAGGGAUAGUUGGG